AGAGUUUGAUCAUGGCUCAGAGUGAACGCUGGCGGCGUGGUUUAGGCAUGCAAGUCGAGCGAUCCUUGCUGACUUCUUAUUGAAGUGCUUGCACGGAUGUAAGAAGUUGGCGCUGGAUAGCGGCAAACGGGUGAGUAACACGUGAGCAACUUUCCCCUAAAACAGGGAUAGCUUCGUGAAAACGGAGGUAAUACCUGAUGUGUCCUUGGAGUCGCAUGGCUCUAAGGAUAAAGGCAGGGACCGCAAGGCCUGCCGAUUAGGGAUGGGCUCGCGACCUAUCAGCUUGUUGGUGGGGUAAUGGCCUACCAAGGCUUUUGACGGGUAGCUGGUCUGAGAGGAUGGUCAGCCACACUGGGACUGAGACACUGCCCAGACUCCUACGGGAGGCUGCAGUCGAGAAUAUUUAGCAAUGGGGGAAACCCUGACUAUGCGACGCCGCGUGCAGGAUGAAGGUUUUCGGAUUGUAAACUGCUUUUAUUAGGGGAGAACUCCCACAGGUUAAUAGCCUGUGGGCUGACGGUAUCUAAUGAAUAAGCCACGGCCAACUCCGUGCCAGCAGCCGCGGUAAUACGGAGGUGGCAAGCGUUACUCGGAAUCAUUGGGUGUAAAGGGCAAGUAGGCGGUCUAUUAAGUGAGGGGUGAAAUCUUCCGACUCAAUCGGGAAAUUGCCUUUCAAACUGGUAGACUUGAGGGAGAUAGAGGGAAAUGGAAUUCCAGGUGUAAGGGUGAAAUCUGUAGAUAUCUGGAAGAAUACCAACGGCGAAGGCAAUUUCCUGGAUCUCUCCUGACGCUGAAUUGCGAAAGCUAGGGGAGCAAACAGAAUUAGAUACCCUAGUAGUCC
rnacentral:rRNA from 1 species